rnacentral:rRNA from 1 species
GAUGAACGCUGGCGGCGUGCCUAAUACAUGCAAGUCGAGCGAACAGACGAGGAGCUUGCUCCUCUGACGUUAGCGGCGGACGGGUGAGUAACACGUGGAUAACCUACCUAUAAGACUGGGAUAACUUCGGGAAACCGGAGCUAAUACCGGAUAAUAUAUUGAACCGCAUGGUUCAAUAGUGAAAGACGGUUUUGCUGUCACUUAUAGAUGUAUCCGCGCCGCAUUAGCUAGUUGAUAAGGUAACGGCUUACCAAGGCAACGAUGCGUAGCCGACCUGAGAGGGUGAUCGGCCACACUGGAACUGAGACACGGUCCAGACUCCUACGGGAGGCAGCAGUAGGGAAUCUUCCGCAAUGGGCGAAAGCUUGACGGAGCAACGCCGCGUGAGUGAUGAAGGUCUUCGGAUCGUAAAACUCUGUUAUUAGGGAAGAACAAAUGUGUAAGUAACUAUGCACGUCUUGACGGUACCUAAUCAGAAAGCCACGGCUAACUACGUG